rnacentral:rRNA from 1 species
UACGGGAGGCAGCAGUAGGGAAUCUUCGGCAAUGGACGAAAGUCUGACCGAGCAACGCCGCGUGAGUGAAGAAGGUUUUCGGAUCGUAAAACUCUGUUGUUAGAGAAGAACAAGGACGUUAGUAACUGAACGUCCCCUGACGGUAUCUAACCAGAAAGCCACGGCUAACUACGUGCCAGCAGCCGCGGUAAU